rnacentral:rRNA from 1 species
GUUGGCGGGGUAACGGCCCACCAAAUCUACGAUCGGUAGCCGGACUGAGAGGUUGAACGGCCACAUUGGGACUGAGACACGGCCCAGACUCCUACGGGAGGCAGCAGUGGGGGAUAUUGCACAAUGGAGGGAACUCUGAUGCAGCGACGCCGCGUGAGGGAAGAAGGUCUUCGGAUUGUAAACCUCUGUCUUCGGUGGCGAAAAUGACGGUAGCCGAGGAGGAAGCCACGGCUAACUACGUGCCAGCAGCCGCGGUAAUACGUAGGUGGCAAGCGUUGUCCGGAAUUACUGGGUGUAAAGGGAGCGUAGGCGGGAAGGCAAGUUGAUUGUCUAAACUAUCGGCUCAACCGAUAGUCGCGAUCAAAACUACUUUUCUUGAGUGAAGUAGAGGUAAGCGGAAUUCCUAGUGUAGCGGUGAAAUGCGUAAAUAUUAGGAGGAACACCAGUGGCGAAGGCGGCUUACUGGGCUUUAACUGACGCUGAGGCUCGAAAGCGUGGGUAGCAAACAGGAUUAGAUACCCUGGUAGUCCACGCUGUAAACGAUGAUUACUAGGUGUGGGGGGACUGACCCCUUCCGUGCCGGAGUUAACACAAUAAGUAAUCCACCUGGGGAGUACGGCCGCAAGGCUGAAACUCAAAGGAAUUGACGGGGGCCCGCACAAGCAGUGGAGUAUGUGGUCUAAUUCGAAGCAACGCGAAGAACCUUACCAGGUCUUGACAUCGUAUGCUAUCUGUAGAAGUACAGAGUUCUCUUCGGAGACGUACAGACAGGUGGUGCAUGGUUGUCGUCAGCUCGUGUCGUGAGAUGUUGGGUUAAGUCCCGCAACGAGCGCAACCCUUAUGUUUAGUUGCUACGCAAGAGCACUCUAGACAGACUGCCGUUGACAAAACGGAGGAAGGUGGGGAUGACGUCAAAUCAUCAUGCCCCUUAUGACCUGGGCUACACACGUACUACAAUGGCCGUCAACAGAGGGCAGCGACACCGCGAGGUGAAGCGAAUCUCCAAAAACGGUCUCAGUUCAGAUUGCAGGCUGCAACCCGCCUGCAUGAAGAUGGAAUUGCUAGUAAUCGCGGAUCAGAAUGCCGCGGUGAAUACGUUCCCGGGCCUUGUACACACCGCCCGUCACACCAUGAGAGUUGGCAACACCCGAAGUCGGUAGGCGAACGCAAGAAGCCGCCGCCGAAGGUGGGGUCGAUGAUUGGGGUGAAGUCGUAACAAGGUAGCCGUACUAGUACGACGA